UACAGAGGUCUCAAGCGUUGUUCGGAUUCAUUGGGCGUAAAGGGUGUGUAGGUGGCGCGCUAAGUCGGGUGUGAAAUUUCGGAGCUUAACUCCGAAACUGCAUUCGAUACUGGCGUGCUUGAGGACUGGAGAGGAGACUGGAAUUCAUGGUGUAGCAGUGAAAUGCGUAGAGAUCAUGAGGAAGACCAGUGGCGAAGGCGGGUCUCUGGACAGUUCCUGACAGCUGAGACACGAAGGCCAGGGGAGCGAAACGGG
rnacentral:rRNA from 1 species